ensembl:lncRNA
UCUUUCUCAACUAUUUACCAUCUAUUUUUGCCUACAAAGCAUUUCUGUGGAACCUUCUAUAUUGUCUGAAGUUUCUUACACAAUCUACCCUUGUUUCAUCUUGAUAUUUGUUUUGCUGUAUGUCUGAGGUUCUGCCAGACGUGCUGUGGGUGGCUGUACAGCAGACUUGCAGUGAAGUCCUGGAGCAGAGCCUAGACAAGUCUCUGAGCAAAACUGCUAAUUCAAGCUGUUUGGGCACAAAUAUAGACUGUAGGUGGAGUCAGAUUCUUCUUGUUCUGGUCCCCUCUAAUUACGUAACUCACAAGACACAGGUUAAUUAUGUCAAUCAAUGCCACAUCAUGCCAAUAGGGAUAACUAUACAAGAGCACAUGUGAAAAGAGAGCAGUGUAUACAGUGUGUAAAAAUUUAGGCAGCUGUUCACAUGAAAAUUUUAAUGUUAGAAUGCCAUGACUUAAAAUCUGUCAUUAUUGUAACCCAUUAUAUAAAUAAAAUUAAUUCUUUUUUUUUUUUUUUUUUUAAUUUUUUUUUCUAUUAGACGUAUAUCUUUGAGACUAAAAUCCUUGUUAUUUGUCCCCAAAAUCACCAAUUAAUCUUUGGUUGUUUUUCAGCAUUAUUUAAAUAAAAAUCUUUUUUACAGCGUGUGACAAACAUCCUAGAUAUAUCAGAGAUGGGUUAAAGGAAAGAAAGUGGAACAGUUUUAUGAUAAAUAUGCAGUGAAAGAGACAGCAAAUGAUCACAGGAUAAUUUUUGUCUUUUCUAAUCAUCGCAUGACAUCACACAGAUCCGUCUCCCCUAAACUCUUUGCAGAUGGCCAUGACCGGAAACUGAAACUCUGUCUCACAGAAAAGAACUGUUCUGUGACGGACACAAAUGUGGGAGAGUCAAAACAUGUGGGAUCUGAAACCAUUACAUCUGCCUAAAGUUCAGUCUUUGACAGCUUUGACCCCUAAUCAUCCCCAUAUUGACCUCAACCUUCCUUGAGGUCAACCAUCAAUUGGCUGUUGGUCUUUUUGACCCAUUCCCUGACUGAUUAAGGGAAGUGUGUUUUUAUUGAAGUCACAGGGAGGCCAUUAUGUGCACUUGCUGUUCCUUUACUGAUUCCUACUUAACUGACCAUAAGUUAUACAUGGCUGUCAGCUGUGUUACCCAGCAAAAACAUGUUUUAAGAAUGUUUUGCUAAAAUUUCAAUUAAGUUAUUAAGUUAUUAAGAAACAUUAUUUCUGAAUGUUUUCUUAAUAUUAAAAACAUC